rnacentral:rRNA from 1 species
AUCCUGGCUUAGGAUGAACGCUAGCUACAGGCUUAACACAUGCAAGUCGAGGGGCAGCAUGUUGGUGCUGCAACCAAUGAUGGCGACCGGCGCACGGGUGAGUAACGCGUAUCCAACCUUCCCCUUAGUAGAGGAUAGCCCGGCGAAAGUCGGAUUAAUACUCUAUGUUCUUCAAUGCGGACAUCUACGUUGAAGCAAAGAUUUAUCGCUAAGGGAUGGGGAUGCGUCUGAUUAGGUUGCAGGCGGGGUAACGGCCCACCUGGCCUACGAUCAGUAGGGGUUCUGAGAGGAAGGUCCCCCACACUGGUACUGAGACACGGACCAGACUCCUACGGGAGGCAGCAGUGAGGAAUAUUGGUCAAUGGGCGCGAGCCUGAACCAGCCAAGUAGCGUGCAGGGAACCGACUGCCCUAUGGGUUGUAAACUGCUUUUAUCAGGGAAUAAAGUGAGGCACGCGUGCCUUUUUGUAUGUACCUGAUGAAUAAGGACCGGCUAAUUCCGUGCCAGCAGCCGC